UGGCGAAAAGCGCGCGGCGGCGGUCCGGUGGCCGGGAGCCUGGCGUUAAGGAUUCUUUCCCCUCCUAACAGGUUCCUGCGUUAGGCGCCAUGAGGUGGCCUCCAAGUUGGAGCCAGGAAUAAAGCUGUGGUGGUGGAAGAAGCCCUCGCCUGAGCCUCUCAGGUCCGUCAGCGCCUUCCAAGUCGGAGGCUGGGACUAGGAGGAGUCAGCGGAGGUGCUGCGCGCUUCUCCCGGUUCGUCCUGCGGUCCCGGUCCUGAGGAGAGUUGGUUCAGACGUCAGACACCGGCAUCUGCAGUCUCCAUGCUUAGCUCUCAGCACAUCCCCAGUCAGCACGGACACUUCACCCAGAUCUUCCCAGAUGACCGGGCUGCAUGCUGAUGGGUGCUCUAGCUGUGGUCACGCCUUUCUUGUGCAUCCUGAGGACGGUCCUGCAAAUCACCCUCCCACCUCCACUGCUACCCUUUGGGAAAAGCACGUUAGCCCUAGUCAUGGCCUUGGAGGACCCCCCAAAUGCAGUCAUGAGAUGCAGACCUCCAAUACAAGAAUAAACAUAUUUAAAGGUGCCCACAACAGCCAGAGCCAGACCAGGGUGAGGCCCAGAUCCUGAAACUCCAUUCAUGUCUCUCAUGCACACAAGAGACUCAGGUACGUGAUCCAUCACUUGUGUGCACAUUUUCAGGAAGCUGGAAUAUUGGGCAGAACCAAGGCUCAAAUCCAGGACAUGGACAUUUAAAGUGGCAUUUUAACCACUAGGCCAAAUGUGCACCCCUGAUUUUCUCUUGUGAUCCAUCAUAAUCAGAAAAUACCUCAUGUGAGUUCAGUCCUUUUAACAUUUAUUUAUUCUGUUUUAUGACUUAGUGAAUCUUAUAUGCAUUUUGACUUUUCAGAGUUCAGAUAUAAACAAGAUAAUGUAUUUGCCUUUCUGUGCCUGACUUGUGUCACAUAACGUAAUGUGUUCUGUUCAUGUAUCUUGUCAUGUGGCAGAAUUUUCUUCUUUUUCAACCUGAGUAGAAUACAUUUUAAGUCCAUUUAUGUGUUGGUGAACGUGUUCAUAGUUUUUAUGUCUUACGUACUCUACAUGGGAGUACAGCUAUAUCUUAAAUAUAAUGGUUUCACGUUCAAAUAUGUACUUAGUUAUGGAAUUAAUACAUCCAAUGCAAGUUCUAUGUUAUGUUUUUAGAGGAAACAUCAUACUACUUUCUAAGCUGCCUGAUUUAAUUUACAUUUCCACAAUGUACAAUGAGACUAUUGUACUUAUGAACACUUACAAUUUUGCAUCUUUUUGAUAGUAGCUAUUCUGUCAGGUGAAAAGUGAUGCAAUAUUUUUGUAUUAUUUGUGUCUCAUCAUUAAUAAUAUCAAAGAUGUUUUCAUAUGUUGACCAUUUAUAUAUCUUCUAUUGAGAAAUGUCUAUGUGGGUCCUUUUCCUAUUUUAUUAAAGAUAUUUGAGUUAUUUUGAGUACUUAGAUUCCCUUAUACAUAUUUGUUGUUAGCCUCUUUCUAAUGUGUGGCUUUUCUCUUCACUUUGUCAUUUAUCUUGCAGUAUAAAUCUUUUUUAAUUUCCUAUAAUCCCAGUAAUCUGUGUUUCUUUUAAUGCCUGGUUUUUGGCAUCACAUCCAAUAAAUCAUUUUCUGGACUGAUGUCUUGGGGCUUUUUCCUGUUCUGUUAGUACUUUUGUAGUUUUAGAUUUUAUGUUUGAGCAUGAAAUCUAUUUUUUAGUGAUUUCAUAUAAAUAUUUAGAUGUAUCCAAUUUAUUUUGCAUGUGGAUGACACAUUUUCUUCAGCAGUAUUCGUUGAAGAGACUACUCUUACUACAUUUUAUGUUCACUACAUUUAUGUACCUUAUUUGAAAAUGAGUUCACUGUCAAUUUUUAGGUUUAUUUCUGGGCUUUCCAUCCUAUUUCAUCAGUCAAUGUUUCUGUUUUUGUGCCAGUACCGUGCUGUAGCUUUGUAAUAAAUCUAGCUUUGGUGUUUUUGCUCAAGAUUGUUUUGGCGAUUCUUAGUCUUUCCUGUUUAUACAAAUUUUAAUAUGUUUUCUGUUUCUGUGAAGAAUGACAUUAAAAUUUUGAUCGAGAUUGCAUGGAAUAUCUACAUUGUUUU